rnacentral:RNase_P_RNA from 1 species
AUUUUUGGAUAAUCGCGCAGGUAUUCUUACCUGUGAGGAAAGUCCAUGCUAGCACUGGCUGUGAUGCCGGUAGUGUUUGUGCUAGGCGAAACGAUAAGCCUAGGCACGCCUUGUGCGUGACGGCGGUCAAACGGGCUAAGUCCUUGGAUAUGCUCUACUAGGCCUGAAAGUGCCACAGUGACGGAGUUUUUGGGGAAACCCAAAAAGUGGAACGCGGUAAACCCCUCAAGCUAGCAACCCAAACUUUGGUCGGGGCAUGGGAUAGGCAGAAGAAAGAAUGGCUAUCCUGACUGUGAGAACAGUAGACAGAUGAUUAUCGAAGGAGCUGAUACCUAGUCAGUUCUGGAACAAAACAUGGCUUAUAGAA